UGCUCUGGCGCCGUCUUGUGGACACCUGCUCUAACAGCAACUCUCAGGUUUUCCUCCUCUCUCUGCCUCAGCCGCCCCCCAGGGCGGCACUGGCUGGGGGCAAUAUGCUCCUGGAAUGGCCUUCCCCCGCAGCUGCCGCCGCCGCCGCCGCCCCCGCCGCCGGCCUGAUCUAGCAAGAAGGGCCAAUCCAGGAGGGCCAUUGCUCUCUCAAAGGCUUUCGGAGCCUGGAGGCCCACCUCCACCUUGCCACUCCAUGCAAACCUUCAGCUCCCAACCCAUCCUAUCAGGACAGCCUUCUCCCUUUGGGAGAUAGCCCUGCCACGAUGCCGUUAUGGAGACAGGUCCGUAGUGUAUGGACCCCACCGCAGCUGGCCUGAGUUGUCUGCACGUCGAUGUUUUCCCAGCAGCAGAGGUGAGCACGCCCGCCACAGGGACAAAGACAGCUCUGUUCCCCAGGGGAUUGGGGGGACUCUUGGGGACACCUCCCUUUUCGCAGUCAAUCUACCAGCCUUAGGUCCGAUUUCCGGACCAGCUGAUUGAGGGAACGGAAGAGGCUCCAAGGUAAAGACAAGGACGGCGUUUCAGGAGACCUCAGGCGAGAAACUGCCCAGGGAUUAACACAGCUGCUCACCAAAGGAUCACCGUUUGACCACCUUCCAUGCACGACCCUCAGGCACUUUCCUCCUGGCACCAGAGCCCAGGUCAGCCUGGGGUCUCCCAAUCAACAGCUCGACCGCAGACACCAGCCAACAGCCCAACAAAACCCCAAACCCAAGGGGAAAAUGGCAAAAGACCUCAAGAGACAUUUCCCGAAACAGACAUGCAGAGGGCAAAAAGCACUGGGAGACAUGUGCCCCGCAUCCCUCAUGAGGAGAGACAUGCACGUCAAAGGGACUCUGAAGGACCAACCCACCUCUCUCUGAAGGGCCACCAUUAGGAAGUCUACAAGGCACACAUCCCUGAGAGGGUGUGGACAAGAAGAUGCCCUCCUCCACGGUGGGUAUUUUUGUACGUGUGGACAACCGCGAUGGACCACACGAUCGAGGGAAUCCACAAAAAUCAAUAGCGGACGACCUCAGCACCCAGGCCUCCCACUCUUGGUCCUAUUUCCGGAAUUGGGUCUUUGAAAAAUGUAAAAGCCCCCGCUAUGUUCAUGCAGCACACUUCCCAAUAGCCAGCCAUGGAAAACAACUCAAUGUCCAUCGAGAGAUGAUUGGAUUAGGAAGAGAGUGGAUAUGUACACAUUGGAAUGCUCCUCAAACAUUGAGAAAAAAAAAAAAA